AUGGAUACGGCCUGCGGCAGCAAGCCGCCGCAGUCGAAGAAGGUGUGCAUCAUCGGAGCCGGCAUGGCCGGGCUGGCCGCGGCGCGCGAGCUGCGCCGUGAGGGCCACGACGUGACGGUGCUGGAGCAGAGCGGCGACGUCGGCGGGCAGUGGCUGUACGACCCGAGGACCGACGCCGAUGACGCGCUCGGCGUGGCGGCGCCGGUGAAGGUGCACAGCAGCAUCUACGCCUCGCUCCGGCUCAUCAGCCCCCGGCAGACCACGGGCUUCACCGACUUCCCCUUCUGCCCCAAGAGCGGCCGCGACGACCGCCGCUUCCCGGGCCACCGCGAGGUGCACCUGUACCUCAAGGACUUCUGCGACGCGUUCGGGCUCAUGGAGGCCGUGAGGCUCAACACCAGGGUCCUCCAUGCCGCCAUGACGCCGGCGUGUAAGUGGGCUGUGAGAUCCAUGGACCUCGGGAUCGGGGAGUGCGAUGGUGCCGACGGGAAGGAGUUGGACGCGUACGUGGACGAGGUGUUCGACGCCGUUGUCGUCGCCAGCGGCCACUACUCGCAGCCAAGAUUGCCAAGCAUCAAAGGUAAGUGUAAAGCAACGCAAGCUCCACGGACCAAGCAUGUUCCCAUAAUCGUUUACUAUAAAGAAGAAGAUGUACGUACAGGCAUGGAGACGUGGAGGGGGAGGCAGAUGCACAGCCACUCGUAUAGGGUGCCGGAGCCGUUCCGCGGCGAGGUUGUGGUGGUCGUCGGGUGCGGGGAUAGCGGCAGAGACAUCGCCAUGGAGAUCCGCGGCGUGGCCGAGGAGGUGUACAUCGUCGCCGGGUCCAUGGAGGCGGUCACCCCAGGCUUGUCCAAGGUGCUGGCCAAGUACAGCACCAACCUCCAUCUCCGACUUGAAGUGGAGCGUCUGUGCGAGGACGGGCGGGUGGCUUUCAAGGACGGCGGCGGCUCCAGCUCCAGCGUCGCCGCCGACACCGUCAUCUACUGCACAGGGUACAACUACUCGUUCCCGUUCCUGGACACGGGCGGAGCGGUGGCCGUGGACGACAACCGCGUGGGCCCGCUGUUCGAGCAUGUGUUCCCGCCGUCGCUGGCUCCGUCACUCUCCUUCGUCGGCCUACUCAGGAAGGUAUUCGCGCCUCGGUCCUUCGAGGCUCAGGCUCGCUGGGUGGCCCAGGUGCUGUCCGGCAGGAGGAAGCUGCCGACGGAGGAGGAGAUGCUUCGGUCCGUGGAGGAGUUCUACCGCGCCAGGGAGAUCGCCGGCGUGCCCAGCAAGUACACCCACGAGAUCCGCUCGCUCAAGUGCUCGUACGUGGAUGAUUUCGGGGAGAAGUACUGCGACUUCCCUCGUCAGGAGAGGUGGCAGUACGAGCUGCUGAGGUCGUCCGUGCACGACAUGAUGGACAAGUUCGAGACCUUCCGAGACGACUACCAGGACAGCGACUCCAUCCGCAAGGCUGUGCAGGAGUGGCAUCUCUCUUGUCUGCAAAGCUCGUCCAAGGCUGGUUCUGAGAUUUCGAGGGCCUGGGCGAAACAAGAACCUGGUGCCUCUAAAUAG
rnacentral:rRNA from 1 species